rnacentral:snoRNA from 1 species
GGAUCAUUUCAAAGAGAGUUUGGGACUGUGAAACCAAGAGCACUCAAUGCUGUGAACAAAGAUUGAAGUUCCCCACCAAAUGCCAUAGUUACUUAAUAGUGCUAUAUUUUUCUAAGGAUUUAUAAUG